GAUGAACGCUAGCUACAGGCUUAACACAUGCAAGUCGAGGGGAAACGACAUCGAAAGCUUGCUUUUGAUGGGCGUCGACCGGCGCACGGGUGAGUAACGCGUAUCCAACCUGCCCAUCACUUGGGAAUAACCUUGCGAAAGUAAGACUAAUACCCAAUGAUAUCCCACGAAGGCAUCGGAAUGGGAUUAAAGAUUUAUCGGUGAUGGAUGGGGAUGCGUCUGAUUAGCUUGUUGGCGGGGUAACGGCCCACCAAGGCAACGAUCAGUAGGGGUUCUGAGAGGAAGGUCCCCCACAUUGGAACUGAGACACGGUCCAAACUCCUACGGGAGGCAGCAGUGAGGAAGAUGGGUCAAUGGGCGAGAGCCUGAACCAGCCAAGUAGCGUGCAGGAAGACGGCCCUAUGGGCGGUAAACUGCUUUUAUAAGGGAAUAAAGUGGGUCACGUGUGACUUUUUGCAUGUACCUUAUGAAUAAGGACCGGCUAAUUCCGUG
rnacentral:rRNA from 1 species